UAUAAAUAGGUCUCAGCAGAAACAAGUCACUUCAGGAAUCAGACUCACUUCCUGGUAUGGGAGAACAAAAGGGAGGAACUCAAGUUACCGGAGUCCAGAAACACUACUUGCUGCUGAGCUGGAACUCUGGAGAGAAGUCCAUUGCAGGAGGCAGAAUCACAGGAGGGAGGCAGCCAACUGCAGCGAUGCAGCCACAAGACAGAAGAGAAUGUUCUGAGCUCUCACCCUCUGAUCUCACAUUAAUACAUCCGAAAUGCAGAAUCCAUUCUUCUGCUCUGACUGAUGUCCUGGCCAGCAGCUGAUCUUCUGUCUAGCAAUCCUAAUGUGAACUGGAAGAGAGACCCACAGAAAUAUAUACUUCCUGGUUUCCUGAGCAUCCCCUUCCUGCCAACGAGCAUCACAGAGGAAUCCUGUUAUACAGCAGGGAUGAAGGCUGCGUGUGUAUCAACUAGUGCAAGGGGAUGAACAAAGCACCACUCUAUCCCCCUCUCAAGAAGUCAUGGCCUGGGAAAGAGCUAUGGGAGAGACCAGUUGGAUUUCAAUUUCUCAAUGCCACAGACAUUUCAUAAACAAUUUGACUGGUGUCUUUAUAAGAAGAGGAAGAGGCACUGGCUCACUCUCUCUACAUGGACACCACGGAAAGGUCACGUGAAGACACAGUAAGAAGGCAGCUGUCUAAAGCCAGAAAGAGACUUCACCACACAUGGACUCUGACCUUGAACUUCCAGCUUUUAGAACUGUGAGAAAGGCUGAUUAUAAUCCUCCCUCUGACCACAGUCUCCUGAACUGUAACUUAGAGGUUGGAAUAGAUCAGCAAGUUGGUAAAUCUGUGUAUUGAGCAACACAUGGCCACUUGAUGUGAAAAAAAGGUGGCGGCUCCAUGCCUGGACUCUGCUUGAUGUGACCGCAGCCAUCCUGAAUGACCCCAGCAAAGAAACCCAGAAGGGCAGAGGGAAAAUAAUUGUUUCCUCAUCUGCUUGAGACUUCCAGACCAACUAGGUGUUUCUUACAAAGGAGCCUGUCCCUGUGCAGAGAGGCGAGUCCGGAUGGCCGCAUUACAGCACCUGACUUGACUUUCUUCUCAUGCUCAGAAGACAAGAGAACCUAACUAGGGUAGAGCAGCUAUUCUCUCAUGGAAAGUUGGACCAGGAACAAAUAGAUGGCUCCGUUUUGUGGGUCAUUUGAACUGAGGACAGUUAAACUCUAAGGAUGUGGCCACCAUGGUUGCCAUGUAAACAUUAAACAGAGACUGAAGAAGCAAGGACAAAACAAGCAGCUGAGAAGCCAUGUGGUGCUGCGGGGCAUGAGCUAGACAGACAGCAAGAGCAGCUACCUGGAGUUUUAAACUGCUCUUCAGUUCUGGGCUCCAGACACACAGCAGCCCAGCCCCCAUUGUGAUUCCUGCCCUUGGACUGCAUGAGAAUCUUCCGGAUUCUUUCUGAUAUAUUCUUGGCUUUGGUGAAGUUAUGUGGAAGAGUUUCUCAUCCAAAGAGCUUUAGCUUUAAUGUAGAUAUUCUGAAACAGCUUUUUGAAUUAUUUGUUCUAAGCAUUUGAAUAGUAGGCUGGGUAUGGGAAACGCCCCUGCACACAUCCUUAUGCAUACAGAUCCCAGGAGUACCUGUCCUAAGGUCCCUUCUCAGCUGUGUGGCCAAAGACUACAUUGCUGCGCUGCCUGACCUCAGCUGGUUCUUCGGCUGGAAGCUCCCUGAGAGGACCGCACCCAGCCUGAUCCUUGCCGAUGCCAUCAUGGCAUCACGUUGUGCCACUGCAAGCCCGUUUGCCUUCUCUUGUGCAGUUGUCCCGUCACUUACUGUUUGUGAAUGAUGAGUUGACAGUGAAAGAGAAGAGAAGCAGCAGCCAGCCUGGCCUUCAGAUGGGAGAAAAGCAUGUUUUUUAGAGAAUAAAAACAUUAUUUGGUAAGAA